UACGUAGGGGGCAAGCGUUGUCCGGAAUCAUUGGGCGUAAAGCGCGCGUAGGCGGCCAGACAAGUCCGCCGUGAAAGUCGGGGGCUCAACCCUCGAAUGCCGGUGGAUACUGUCGGGCUAGAGUACGGAAGAGGCGAGUGGAAUUCCUGGUGUAGCGGUGAAAUGCGCAGAUAUCAGGAGGAACACCAAUUGCGAAGGCAGCUCGCUGGGACGUUACUGACGCUGAGACGCGAAAGCGUGGGGAGCAAACAGG
rnacentral:rRNA from 1 species